GGAGAAGAUCAGGAACCAAGGAACAGUUCCAGCAACAUUGAAUGAAACCUGAGACUAUGUCUAUCUGCAGGAGAUCUGGCCUAGAAGCAAUGCUGGUUUGAGCAAUAAGGUGCCUUUAUCAUAACAAAAUGCAACAAAAGCAAAAGCCUUAAUUAAAAGCCUUAAUGAACUGAGAAUUAUUCUACUUACUGAGGAGUUUGCUAAAAAUGGAAAAGUAAAGCUUCCUCUUGUGAUUAAAAAUAUGCAACAGGUUUACUUGCCACGUGCUUAACAGAACACACAGUGGCACUCAACAGUUUGCUUACAGAUCUUAACAGGUGCAUCUCCUCUGCUCUUAAUGGCAGGAAAGAAACUUAUACUUCCCAUUAUUUCAAUGCCCUUUUUGCUGUCCCAGCAGAAAAAAGCCAGUGUCACCACAAAGCAACCAUAAGCAGUAACACCUACUUUGCUAUAUGGAGUCCAACAGCGGAUCUAUAGAAGUUCCUUUUAUUCUGGGACUGGACUGAGCUGCUGGAGUCAACUCUUUGUCUAAAAUGCUAAGGAUCACUCCAGGAUUAGCCAAAAGAAACUCAGAUCCUCUCUCUAUCUUCACUGAAAGGAUACAGAAGCCAAGCAGGGAUGCAACAGCCAGGCUUAUUUCUUAUUAUAGCCCUGUCUGGUCAAACAAGGACUGGGACAAUUUUGCCUAAUACAAACAGUCAGUGGUGCAUUUGAAAUUCCCAUUUAGAAAGACUUCAGACUAAAUUCCUCUUCCACAGUGGGUUGAAAGGACUCAGCUCUGAAAUUAGAUCUGCUUAUGGAGGAGCUGCACUCUUUGAGUGGGAGAAGCCUAACACAAGCAAACCUCAGUAUGUACAAACUGUGGACUAUGGGAAGGAUGUCAAUAGAGUGCAAAAAGUCAGGUUUUAUGCUCAUAAGCAUAAUGUAGAGGAGGCUACAGUUUACAUCAGUUUUGCAGUGGCUUCUAUGUUUUGCACAAAAUCACAAGGAUGGGAACAAAUUUCAGUCUCGUUUCAGAAUCUGGAUUGCCCCUGGUCUUUCUUUUUCACUGCUGUGAUGCUCCAAUAUAUUAUCACAGCUUCAUUCUACCUGGGUCUGCACAUGAAGUUCAGCAGCAUCGAGCAGUUAAUAGUGCCUGCAAGGUGCUUGUACAGCUUUAUUUAUUGAGAUGCAUUUUUCUGUUUCAGCAUUAGAUCCAGAUCAUUUAACCAAGAAAAAAUGCAACAACCACCAGAUGUUAUGUUGUGCUAGUGACUAAUUAUCAAAGAACAUGAAAGACACGUCAUUUUUUGAGGGUGUUAGAAAAGAUAUAGUGAGUGGCGUGAGAAAAAAAAUGGGAUUAAGAACUCUUGGAAUUUAGAGUUAGGAGAAAUAUAUAUAUAUAUAAAUAUGGGGAAUGCUAUAGCUUUUCUAUAAAGGGCAGAACAUCAAAUGACAACUUGCUGAGGUUGGAAAGCACCCAUCUGUUCAGAGCAUAGUCACGUGGAACAGGUUACUCAGGAUCAUGCCCAGUCAGGUUUUGAGUAUCUGCAGAGACGGAGAUUCUGCAACUUCUCCGGGCAACCUGCACCAGUGUUUAAUCCCCUUUACACUAAAGGAGUUUUUCUUUAUUUUACUUGUAAUUUGAUGUAUUUCAAAUUGUGUCCAUUGCCCCUUGUUCUGAUGCUUUGUACCACUAAGGAGUUUAACUCGGUCUUCUUUGCUCCCCCUGUGAAGUAUUGAUACACAUUGUUAAGACUCAUCUGAGUCUUCUCCAGUAUGAAGAGUAAGAGCUUUUUCAGACUCUACCUGUAUGCUGGAUGCUCCAAGAUGUCGUUAUCUUCAUGGCUGGACUUGCUACAACUCAACGAACCACUGCAAUAUUCCCUGCUGUGGGACAACAGAAUGUCAGACCUUGAACUCACAUGUAUGCUAAAUAUUAAACAUGUGCCUAAUCAUGAUUCUUAGUAAGGAGUUUAUAUUGAAAUCUUUUCUUUAAGCAAGUAAAUCAAGAUGAAUUCAGUGAAAAAUUCUUGGCAGUUAUCUGCCAAUUUUUAACAUCUUUGGUGUCUGAUACCGCUCAGAAGUAACCAUCUCCUGGGGCUUUCAGAAGGCAUUGAAGAUAAUCUGAAUUCCUCCCUGGAGAUGUUCAGAAACAUCAUGAGACUCCUUCUUAAUAAUGAGGAUU
rnacentral:lncRNA from 1 species